CCUACGGGUGGCAGCAGUGAGGAAUAUUGGUCAAUGGGCGAGAGCCUGAACCAGCCAAGUCGCGUGAAGGAUGAAGGAUCUAUGGUUUGUAAACUUCUUUUAUAUGGGAAUAAAGUGAGGAACGUGUUCCUUUUUGUAUGUACCAUAUGAAUAAGCAUUGGCUAACUCCGUGCCAGCCGCCGCGGUACUACGGAGGAUGCGAGCGUUUUCCGGAUUUCUUGGGGUUAAAGGGUGCGUAGGUGGUUAUGUAAGUUAGCGGUGAAAGUUUGUGGCUCAACCAUAAAAUUGCCGUUGAAACUGGUUGACUUGAGUAUAUUAGAGGUAGGCGGAAUGCGUGGUGUAGCGGUGAAAUGCAUAGAUAUCACGCAGAACUCCGAUUGCGAAGGCAGCUUACUAAACUAUAACUGACGCUGAAGCACGAAAGCGUGGGGAUCAAACAGGAUUAGAUACCCGGGUAGUC
rnacentral:rRNA from 1 species